rnacentral:snoRNA from 1 species
AAGACUAUGCUUUCAGGGAUCAUUUCUAUAGUUUCUGACUUGGAAGUUUGAUUUGAAAGUGUAACGUCUCUCUAACCACGAUGACGAGUUAAGAUGCUUUCUUCUGAGCGUGAAUCGAGUGGUGAGCGACGAGCGAGAUUGUCUGCUCUCUGUCAUUGAUGAACGUUCCUGCUGUGCUUUGCAGUCUGGAAGAAGAAAGCAUGUUCAG